rnacentral:lncRNA from 1 species
UGCAUUUGGGUCGUUUAGCUUUCUAGCUCCUAUCAUUUUGCUAGUUGUCAAGGAUAUUUCUUCAUUUCUGUAUUUACAGAGUAAAAAUCUGAACACUUGAAUUUUCUUGGGUGCCCAUGGAACAGCCUUUCUCUUGAGAUUCAGUGCCUACCUUCUGCCUUGAACUGCAGCUAAAGGAAAUGCUUUCUACUUCCCGUGAGAUGCUUCCAGGAAACUUUUGCUGAACAGUAACCAGUUGGUGUGAGCUCUUCUGGAGCCAUCCUCAUGCUGAAAGUAACUUGGUUGUCCCAUUUCGGUGUGUGAGAGAUGGCAGAAUGCCUACUUCCCUUCCCUCAGGUCACUUAUGGCUUAUAUUGUAGCUCUCAGAAGGAAUGUCUGUAAGGGACUGUCUUGCAACACUAAAGAGCAGGGGUUGUCUUGCUGGAAUUGAAGAAAAGGAGAGAACACUUCGGGCUGAGGGAACUACAUUGAGUAUUUCAGUGUAGCUGAUGUCCUGGUGAUGAGGCUGUGUAUGAGGGGA